UACGGAGGGGGCUAGCGUUGUUCGGAAUUACUGGGCGUAAAGCGCACGUAGGCGGAUUGGAAAGUUGGGGGUGAAAUCCCGGGGCUCAACCCCGGAACUGCCUUCAAAACUCCCAGUCUGGAGGUCGAGAGAGGUGAGUGGAAUUCCGAGUGUAGAGGUGAAAUUCGUAGAUAUUCGGAGGAACACCAGUGGCGAAAGGCGGCUCACUGGCGUCGAUAACUGCGCUGAGGUGCGAAAGCGUGGGGAGCGAACCGGA
rnacentral:rRNA from 1 species